rnacentral:rRNA from 10 species
GCCUACGGCCAUACUACGUUGAAAACACCGGUUCUCGUCUGAUCACCGAAGUUAAGCAACGUCGGGCCUGGUUAGUACUUGGAUGGGUGACCGCCUGGGAAUACCAGGUGCUGUAGGUU